rnacentral:tRNA from 3 species
GGAGAGGUGCCAGAGUGGUUGAAUGGGACGGUCUCGAAAACCGUUGUGCGGGCAACCGUACCGUGGGUUCGAAUCCCACCCUCUCCGCCA